rnacentral:rRNA from 1 species
UACGGGGGGAGCAAGCGUUGUUCGGAUUUACUGGGCGUAAAGGGCGCGUAGGCGGUCAGCACAAGUCAGUUGUGAAAUCUCCGGGCUUAACUCGGAAAGGUCAACUGAUACUGUGCGACUAGAGUGCGGAAGGGGCAACUGGAAUUCUCGGUGUAGCGGUGAAAUGCGUAGAUAUCGAGAGGAACACCUGCGGCGAAGGCGGGUUGCUGGGCCGACACUGACGCUGAUGCGCGAAAGCCAGGGGAGGCGAACGGG